UGGGGAAUUUUGGACAAUGGGCGAAAGCCUGAUCCAGCAAUGCCGCGUGUGUGAAGAAGGCCUUCGGGUUGUAAAGCACUUUUGUCCGGAAAGAAAUCCUCUGGGUUAAUACCUCGGGGGGAUGACGGUACCGGAAGAAUAAGCACCGGCUAACUACGUGCCAGCAGCCGCGGUAAUACGUAGGGUGCAAGCGUUAAUCGGAAUUACUGGGCGUAAAGCGUGCGCAGGCGGUUUUGUAAGACGGAUGUGAAAUCCCCGGGCUUAACCUGGGAACUGCAUUCGUGACUGCAAGGCUAGAGUAUGGCAGAGGGGGGUAGAAUUCCACGUGUAGCAGUGAAAUGCGUAGAGAUGUGGAGGAAUACCGAUGGCGAAGGCAGCCCCCUGGGCCAAUACUGACGCUCAUGCACGAAAGCGUGGGGAGCAAACGGGAUUAGAUACCCUGGUAGUCCACGCCCUAAACGAUGUCAACUAGUUGUUGGGGAUUCAUUUCCUUAGUAACGUAGCUAACGCGUGAAGUUGACCGCCU
rnacentral:rRNA from 1 species